UACGUAGGGGGCAAGCGUUGUCCGGAAUCAUUGGGCGUAAAGCGCGUGUAGGCGGCUCGGUAAGUCCGCUCUGAAAGUCCGGGGCUCAACCCCGGGAGGCGGGUGGAUACUGUCGAGCUAGAGUCCGGAAGAGGCGAGUGGAAUUCCUGGUGUAGCGGUGAAAUGCGUAGAUAUGUGGAGGAAUACCGAUGGCGAAGGCAGCCCCCUGGGAUAACACUGACGCUCAUGCACGAAAGCUAGGGUAGCGAACGGG
rnacentral:rRNA from 1 species